CUAAGCAUAUCAAUAAGCGGAGGAAAAGAAACCAACAGGGAUUGCCUCAGUAACGGCGAGUGAAGCGGCAACAGCUCAAAUUUGAAAUCUGGCCCUUUCGGGGUCCGAGUUGUAAUUUGUAGAGAGUGUUUCGGGUGAGACCACGGUCUAAGUCCAUUGGAACACGGUGUCAUAGAGGGUGAGAAUCCCGUAUGUGACCGUGGAUCGAGCCCAUGUGAAGCCUCUUCGACGAGUCGAGUUGUUUGGGAAUGCAGCUCAAAAUGGGUGGUAAAUUUCAUCUAAAGCUAAAUACUGGCUGGAGACCGAUAGCGCACAAGUAGAGUGAUCGAAAGAUGAAAAGCACUUUGGAAAGAGAGUGAAACAGUACGUGAAAUUGUUGAAAGGGAAGCGCUUGCAACCAGACCUGCCCGUAGGCGAUCAGCCGCUGUUCUCAGUGGUGCACUCGCUCUGCGAUCAGGCCAGCAUCGGUUUCGGCGGUCGGAUAAAGGCCUUGGGAAUGUAGCUCCUUUUCGGGGGAGUCUUAUAGCCCUCGGUGCAAUGCGGCCAGCCGGGACCGAGGACCGCGCUUCGGCUAGGAUGCUGGCGUAAUGGUUGUAAGCGACCCGUCUUGAAACACGGACCAAGGAGUCUAACAUCUAUGCGAGUGUUUGGGUGUCAAACCCAUGCGCGGAAUGAAAGUGAACGGAGGUGAGAACCCUUAAGGGCGCAUCAUCGACCGAUCCAGAUGUCUUCGGAUGGAUUUGAGUAUGAGCAUAGCUGUUGGGACCCGAAAGAUGGUGAACUAUGCCUGAAUAGGGUGAAGCCAGAGGAAACUCUGGUGGAGGCUCGCAGCGGUUCUGACGUGCAAAUCGAUCGUCAAAUUUGGGUAUAGGGGCGAAAGACUAUCGA
rnacentral:rRNA from 1 species